rnacentral:rRNA from 1 species
ACGGAAGGCAGCAGUGGGGAAUAUUGGGCAAUGGGCGAAAGCCUGACCCAGCAACGCCGCGUGAAGGAGGAAGGCCUUCGGGUUGUAAACUUCUUUUACCAGGGACGAAGGACGUGACGGUACCUGGAGAAAAAGCAACGGCUAACUACGUGCCAGCAGCCGCGGUAAUACGUAGGUUGCAAGCGUUGUCCGGAUUUACUGGGUGUAAAGGGCGUGUAGGCGGAGCUGCAAGUCAGAUGUGAAAUCCCGGGGCUCAACCCCGGAACUGCAGUUGAAACUGUAGCACUUAAGUAUCGGAGAGGCAAGCGGAAUUCCUAGGGUAGCGGUGAAAUGCGUAGAUAUUAGGAGGAACACCAGUGGCGAAGGCGGCUUGCUGGACGACAACUGGCGCUGAGGCGCGAAAGCGGGGGGAGCAAACAAGAUUAGAUACCCUGGUA